GGGAAUGUAGCUUAAUGUAAAGCACUUGUCUAGCAUAUGUGAGACCCUGAGUUCAAUCCCCAGUACUGCCA
rnacentral:tRNA from 1 species